GAACCCAGUCUUGUGUUGCAGGUGACAGUGCUCAGUUGUUGAGUUUCAAACAGGUUACGCAGCUCCUCUGGUGCUUCUAGCAGACUACCAAAAGCUUGGAUUGGGUAGCUGUGGCUGCAAAUCCAAUUGAUCUAAUAGAAACUUUGCUGGAUCGUGACUUUCAGAACAACCAAAGACAGCCAUUAUAGGAACCUUGGAGAGUGAAGAGAUCAGUAGACAUGUUCGAUCAGGACGGCAUUUAACUCUCGCCACUGAGAAGUGGUACGCAGCCCUAUGGUGGAAGAACAAUGUUCUGUCCAGGUUUGCUUCCUGUGGAGCUGAAUAAUGGAACCAUGGUGGAAGAUAUUCACGUUGUUGGUUUCCCGAGUAAACUUCUUGAAAUGAAAAUAAUGCAAG